UACGUAGGGUGCAAGCGUUGUCCGGAAUUAUUGGGCGUAAAGAGCUCGUAGGCGGUUUGUCGCGUCUGCUGUGAAAACUCGGGGCUUAACCCUGGGCCUGCAGUGGGUACGGGCAGACUAGAGUGCGGUAGGGGAGACUGGAAUUCCUGGUGUAGCGGUGAAAUGCGCAGAUAUCGGGAGGAACACCGGUGGCGAAGGCGGGUCUCUGGGCCGUAACUGACGGCUGAGGAGCGAAAGCGUGGGGAGCGAACAGG
rnacentral:rRNA from 1 species